GAGAGGAGCAAGAUCAGCAUGAUGGGGGGGCCCAGGGACAGCCCUAGACGAGCUGCCAGCAACCGGCGCCCUAGGUCUCUGGCUCCGUCGAUGAUGAGAACCAGACAGCUGCUUGCGUGUGUGCCCAAUGACCACAGCAGACCCCGAGAGGGCCCCCAAAGACCACAAACCAGAUAAGGAUCGAAGGUGCCCAGACAGGUUUCUUGCUAAGCGAAGUACAGUCACAGUUGUCGGUGGACUCUAGUGACCCACUGUACACAGAUUUUCAUCAAUCAUUGAAAAAUGUUGAAAGGCCUCCUGAGGAAUUUCCAGGGAACAAGGGCGUGUCUGGCUCGGACUCUGAUUCACUGUCCACAAGUCUUGGAGACCGUACUGCGUGAGUGGGGAGGCGUGGGGGAGGAGGAGCGGUUCCCUCCCUGGGGGGCGAAUGUUCCAUUGCCCUACCUGAAACAUGCGUGGGAGGCGCUGGAUUCAGGAUUGCAGCCGUGCUGUUUGCCCGCCCUUGGUACGCGGUGUCACUGCCACGCGCGCUGGAUUUCGUUCCACGCCAUGAUCCCCCGCGCCGCGGCACAAGCGCGUCGACGGGGUUGGAAUCCUUCCCUCCGUGGAGCCCUGGCUCGGACGGGCCACAGUGAAGAAGCACGAGGGAGUUUCUCUGCUUUUCACGGCUGCGGUUUGGUGCAGUGUGUGGAAAGGGGCAGGCUUCCCUGCACACUGAAUAAAGAGCCAGUCUGCCAGGCAGGGGGUGCGUUUCUUCCUAGGGAAUGGGACGUUUGUGUUCGGGAUGUGGCCGGUUACCCGUUACCAGGUAACCCGUUAAUCCGCAGGCUGGAGCAGCCCCCCGCUGGCCCUGCCACGCCAUGCCGCGAUCCUGGUUGAGCGGUUAACUGGUUAAACAUGACCUGUAGCCGGUUAACUGAUUAACCUGGACUUUACAACUCUAAUGUGUGAGAGAAGCCAGCACUGGAAACUGGAGCCCUGUUCACCAAGCCAACCUCCCCCGUCCACGGGGCUCCCCUCAGGCCGCAGGCCCCUCCUGGAGAGAGAGCGUAGGGCCGUCUCUGUGGCCCCUCCACCUCUGCCGAGGGGUUUGACAGGAGGGUAGUUCUGCUGUCGGGGCAGCUGCGGCUUUGCCAGAGGGGCUCCCUGAGUCUCCAAGGGAAGGGAGCAAGCCGCCUUGGAGAUGCUGUUUGCCCCCCUCAGCUAGCCCCACAGAAGGGCAGGGGCGCACUG